rnacentral:lncRNA from 1 species
GGGGUUUGCCAGCAGUAAGCUGUACAUUUCAAAAAACCAUCUAAACGGAGAUCAACAUGAAGUUUCUCAGCCUGAUCCUGGUCCUUGCCCUGGCGGGAGCUUCUGCUGCAACCACCGAACUCAUUGGAAAUGAGAACAUAAAUGAAAACAAUAUUCACGUCGACGGGAAGUGAUGUUGUGACUACCAGAAAGGAUUCCUAAUAAAAACUAUCAGUUGAAGGUUUAAACAGAGUCGGAACUCCCCGAUGCAGGGUUCGUUAUUAUUUUCCAGUUGACUCCACUCCAUUGUCAAUUAAAUAGAGUGACGAAACAUCUGCUAUCC